rnacentral:rRNA from 1 species
UACGUAGGCAGCAAGCGUUGUUCGGAGUUACUGGGCGUAAAGGGUGUGUAGGCGGUUCUUUAAGUUUGGUGUGAAAUCUCCCGGCUCAACUGGGAGGGUGCGCCGAAUACUGAGGGACUAGAGUACGGGAGAGGAAAGUGGAAUUCCUGGUGUAGCGGUGAAAUGCGUAGAUAUCAGGAGGAACACCGGUGGUGUAGACGGCUUUCUGGACCGACACUGACGCUGAGACACGAAAGCCAGGGGAGCAAACGGG